rnacentral:rRNA from 1 species
AGCGAACGUUUGCGGCGGGCUUAACACAUGCAAGUCGAACGAGAAUCCCUUCGGGGAGGAAAGUGGCGCACGGGUGCGUAACACGUGGAUGACCAACCCAUUGGUUUGGGACAACACCGGGAAACUGGUGCUAAUACCAGAUGUGUCGCAGCUGUCUUCAGGCGGUUGCGAGAAAGGCCCGCAAGGGUCGCCAACGGACGGGUCCGCGUCCCAUCAGCUAGUUGGUGAGGUAAUGGGCUCACCCAAGGCAAAGACGGGUAGCUGGUCUGAGAGGAUGAUCAGCCACACUGGAACUGAGACACGGUCCAGACUCCUACGGGAGGCAGCAGUGGGGAAUAUUGCGCAAUGGGCGAAAGCCUGACGCAGCCACGCCGCGUGAGCGAUGAAGGUCUUCGGAUCGUAAAGCUCUGUGGGGGGA